CCGCGCUUAGCUCAGUUGGCUAGAGCACCUGACUGUAGACUGNAAACACNNGGUUGUAGGCAGCCAUCAGGGGGUCCCCGGUUCAAGUCCGGGAGCGCGGACCA
rnacentral:tRNA from 1 species